rnacentral:rRNA from 1 species
AGAGUUUGAUCCUGGCUCAGGAUGAACGCUAGCGGCAGGCUUAAUACAUGCAAGUCGAGGGGUAACAGGGGUAGCAAUACCUGCUGACGACCGGCAAACGGGUGCGGAACACGUACGCAACCUUCCCAAAACUGGUGAAUAGCCCUCCGAAAGGAGGAUUAAUACACCGUAACAUAUAGAAGUGGCAUCACUUUAUUAUUAUAACUCCGGCGGUUUUGGAUGGGCGUGCGGCUGAUUAGGUAGUUGGCGGGGUAACGGCCCACCAAGCCUGCGAUCAGUAACUGGUGUGAGAGCACGACCAGUCACACGGGCACUGAGACACGGGCCCGACUCCUACGGGAGGCAGCAGUAAGGAAUAUUGGUCAAUGGACGAAAGUCUGAACCAGCCAUGCCGCGUGAAGGAUGAAGGUCCUCUGGAUUGUAAACUUCUUUUAUAGGGGACGAAAAAAGGGAAUUCUUUCUCACUUGACGGUACCCUAGGAAUAAGCACCGGCUAACUCCGUGCCAGCAGCCGCGGUAAUACGGAGGGUGCAAGCGUUAUCCGGAUUCACUGGGUUUAAAGGGAGCGUAGGUGGGCAGGUAAGUCAGUGGUGAAAUCUCCGGGCUUAACCCGGAAACUGCCAUUGAUACUAUUUGUCUUGAAUAUUCUGGAGGUAAGCGGAAUAUGUCAUGUAGCGGUGAAAUGCUUAGAUAUGACAUAGAACACCCAUUGCGAAGGCAGCUUACUACGGAAUUAUUGACACUGAGGCUCGAAAGCGUGGGGAUCAAACAGGAUUAGAUACCCUGGUAGUCCACGCCCUAAACGAUGGAUACUCGACAUACGCGAUACACAGUGUGUGUCUGAGCGAAAGCAUUAAGUAUCCCACCUGGGAAGUACGAUCGCAAGAUUGAAACUCAAAGGAAUUGACGG